CUUUUCCCUUUCUUCUGAAUGGUGGAUUUAUUGCACAAAUGCAGAACAGUGAUGUAGCACGUUCCGUAUCUGAAAUUCCCCAGGAAUGUCGGACUUGCCUCUGCUAUACCAAGAUCACCCAGGGCCUGGAGAAAAACAACAGCUGGAUGAACAACAGCAUCUGGAGCUCAGUGGAAGAAAGGGAGCCUGAAGAAGACUGUUCCAGCAAUACUCUCUUCCCUGGAGAGAAGACCUGUUGUGCCUCUUGCAGGCAUGUGUAA
rnacentral:lncRNA from 1 species